UACGUAGGGUGCAAGCGUUAAUCGGAAUUACUGGGCGUAAAGCGUGCGCAGGCGGUUUUGUAAGUCUGACGUGAAAUCCCCGGGCUCAACCUGGGAAUUGCGUUGGAGACUGCAAGGCUAGAAUCUGGCAGAGGGGGGUAGAAUUCCACGUGUGAGCAGUGAAAUGCGUAGAUAUGUGGAGGAACACCGAUGGCGAAGGCAGCCCCCUGGGCCAAGAUUGACGCUCAUGCACGAAAGCGUGGGGAGCAAACAGG
rnacentral:rRNA from 1 species